CUCCUUCGACAAGGAAAAAUUUUUCUCGGUAAAAUUGGUAAAAUCUAUUAGUCGCCACUGUUCUGAGCUCACAUAUCUACAUCUUGUUCUGAAAGAUCCGGAAGAAGGUUAUUUAGAGUCACUGGUGCAACUAACUAAGCUGAAGCAUCUUUCAUUAGAAGGAAUAGCGGAAAGAAAAAUGUUUCGUGGAGCUUUCAAACUACUCGAAUCAGUUGCAUUGGACGUGGUUCCACCUCGAGUUCUGCUAGAGAACCUUUCUGAAGUUGCGCCACGGUUGAAUUAUUUGAAACUCGAUAAGUGCGUCGACAGUUUGGAGGUACAAUUCAUCUGCGAGAGGUUUUCUUGUCUCCAACACUUAAAAGUAAACAUGGAAAAAGUGAUUGCAGCCGACAGUUCUAUACGAUUCGAUAGAUUGGCCCACUUGCAGGAACUCAAAUUGUUUGGGCUUAGCAACAUUCAUUACAUUCAUCGCAACAACGUUCGUUGCUUGACAAUGCG